CACGCUGUAAACGAUGUCAACUAGCCGUUGGUCCUAUUUACAGGAUUAGUGGCGCAGCUAACGCAUUAAGUUGACCGCCUGGGGAGUACGGCCGCAAGGUUAAAACUCAAAUGAAUUGACGGGGGCCCGCACAAGCGGUGGAGCAUGUGGUUUAAUUCGAUGCAACGCGAAGAACCUUACCUACCCUUGACAUCCAGAGAAUCUGUUAGAGAUAGUAGAGUGCCUUCGGGAACUCUGAGACAGGUGCUGCAUGGCUGUCGUCAGCUCGUGUCGUGAGAUGUUGGGUUAAGUCCCGUAACGAGCGCAACCCUUAUCCUUAGUUGCCAGCGGGUCAAGCCGGGAACUCUAGGGAGACUGCCGGUGAUAAACCG
rnacentral:rRNA from 1 species